UACAGAGGUCUCAAGCGUUGUUCGGAUUCAUUGGACGUAAAGGGUGCGUAGGUGGCGCCGUAAGUCGGGGUGUGAAAUUUCGGAGCUUAACUCCGAAACUGCAUUCGAUACUGCGGUGCUUUGAGGACUGGAGAGGAGACUGGAAUUCAUGGUGUAGCAGUGAAAUGCGUAGAGAUCAUGAGGAAGACCAGUGGCGAAGGCGGGUCUCUGGACAGUUCCUGACACUGAGGCACGAAGGCCAGGGGAGCAAACGGG
rnacentral:rRNA from 1 species